rnacentral:rRNA from 1 species
CCCUUAGACGUUCUGGGCCGCACGCGCGCUACACUGACCAGUGCAACAAGCAUCCGUCCUUGGCCGACAGGCUCGGGCAAUCUUUGAACGCUGGUCGUGAUGGGGAUAGACUUUUGCAAUUUUUGGUCUUCAACGAGGAAUUCCUAGUAAACGCAAGUCAUCAAACUGCAUUGAUUACGUCCCUGCCCUUUGUACACACCGCCCGUCGCACCUACCGAUUGAAUGGUCCGGUGAAGCCUCGGGAUUGUGGCUGGUUUCCUUUAUUGGAGGUCGGUUGCGAGAACUUGUCUAAACCUUAUCAUUUAGAGGAAGGUGAAGUCGUANCA